UACGGAGGUUGCAAGCGUUAUCCGGAUUUAUUGGGUUUAAAGGGUGCGUAGGCGGGAAUUUAAGUCAGCGGUGAAAGACUGUCGCUUAACGAUAGCAUUGCCAUUGAUACUGAAUUUCUUGAGUACAUUUGAGGUGGGCGGAAUGAGUAGUGUAGCGGUGAAAUGCUUAGAUAUUACUCAGAACACCAAUUGCGAAGGCAGCUCACUAAACUGUAACUGACGCUGAGGCACGAAAGCGUGGGGAU
rnacentral:rRNA from 1 species